GACGAAAGCUGGCGGCGUGCUUAACACAUGCAAGUCGAACGGAGUGGCGAACGGGAGAGUAACACGUGGGUGACCUGCCAUGCACUUCGGGAUAAGCCUGGGAAAGUGGGUCUAAUACCGGCUAGGGUGGGAUGGGCGCGCAGCCUAUUAGCUUGUUGGGGGGGUAAUGGCCUACCGAGGCGGCGCCGGGUAACCGGCCUGAGAGGGUGGACGGCCACAUUGGGACUUAGACACGGCCCAGACUCCUACGGGGGGCAGCAGGGGGAAAUAUUGCACAAUGGGCGGAAGCCUGAUGCAGCGACGCCGCGUGGGGGAUGACGGCCUUCGGGUUGUAAACUCCUUUCACCAUCGACGCGGUAAAUGGAGAAGAAGCACCGGCUAACUACGUGCCAGCAGCCGCGGUAAUUC
rnacentral:rRNA from 1 species